rnacentral:rRNA from 1 species
UGGGGAAUAUUGGACAAUGGGCGCAAGCCUGAUCCAGCAAUGCCGCGUGUGUGAAGAAGGCCUUCGGGUUGUAAAGCACUUUUAUCAGGAGCGAAAUACUACCGGUUAAUAACCGGUGGGGCUGACGGUACCUGAGGAAUAAGCACCGGCUAACUUCGUGCCAGCAGCCGCGGUAAUACGAAGGGUGCAAGCGUUAAUCGGAAUUACUGGGCGUAAAGGGUGCGUAGGCGGUUCGUUAAGUCUGUCGUGAAAUCCCCGGGCUCAACCUGGGAAUGGCGAUGGAUACUGGCGAGCUAGAGUGUGUCAGAGGAUGGUGGAAUUUCCGGUGUAGCGGUGAAAUGCGUAGAGAUCGGAAGGAACAUCAGUGGCGAAGGCGGCCAUCUGGGACAACACUGACGCUGAAGCACGAAAGCGUGGGGAGCAAACAGGAUUAGAUACCCCCGUAGUCC